AUUACCUCAGUAACGGCGAGUGAAGCGGUAACAGCUCAAAUUUGAAAUCUGGCAGCAAUGUCCGAGUUGUAAUUUGUAGAGGAUGUUUCGAGCAUGGUCUGGCCUAAGUUCCUUGGAACAGGACGUCAUAGAGGGUGAGAAUCCCGUAUGCGGUCAGGUGCCUACGCUCAUGUGAAACUCCUUCGACGAGUCGAGUUGUUUGGGAAUGCAGCUCAAAAUGGGUGGUAAAUUUCAUCUAAAGCUAAAUAUUGGCCAGAGACCGAUAGCGCACAAGUAGAGUGAUCGAAAGAUGAAAAGCACUUUGGAAAGAGAGUUAAACAGUACGUGAAAUUGUUGAAAGGGAAGCGCUUGCAACCAGACUUGCACGCAGCUGAUCAUCCGCUGUUCUCAGUGGUGCACUCGGUUGCGUUCAGGCCAGCAUCGGUUUUGGUGGUGGGAUAAAGGCCUUAGGAAUGUAGCUGCUUUCGGGCAGUGUUAUAGCCUAGGGUGCAAUGCCGCCUACUGGGACCGAGGACCGCGCUUCGGCUAGGAUGCUGGCGUAAUGGUUGUAAGCGACCCGUCUUGAAACACGGACCAAGGAGUCUAACAUCUAUGCGAGUGUUUGGGUGUCAAACCCAUACGCGUAAUGAAAGUGAACGGAGGUCAGAACCCUUAAGGGUGCAUGAUCGACCGGUCCUGAAGUCUUCGGAUGGAUCUGAGUAAGAGCAUAGCUGUUGGGACCCGAAAGAUGGUGAACUAUGCCUGAAUAGGGUGAAGCCAGAGGAAACUCUGGUGGAGCUCGCAGCGGUUCUGACGUGCAAUCGAUCGUCAAAUUUGGGUAUAGGGGCGAAGACUAAUCGAACAUCUAGUAGCUUGUCUGCGUUUC
rnacentral:rRNA from 1 species